GAUGAACGCUAGCUACAGGCUUAACACAUGCAAGUCGAGGGGCAGCAUGAACAUAGCUUGCUAUGUUUGAUGGCGACCGGCGCACGGGUGCGUAACACGUAUCCAAUCUACCCAUGGCUCGGGGAUAGCCUUCUGAAAGGAAGAUUAAUACCCGAUGGGAUGCAUUUCCGGCAUCGGAGAUGCAUUAAAGAUUUAUCGGUGACGGAUGAGGAUGCGUACGAUUAGCUUGUUGGCGGGGUAACGGCCCACCAAGGCAACGAUCGUUAGGGGUUCUGAGAGGAAGGUCCCCCACAUUGGAACUGAGACACGGUCCAAACUCCUACGGGAGGCAGCAGUGAGGAAUAUUGGUCAAUGGACGCAAGUCUGAACCAGCCAUGUCGCGUGAAGGAUGACUGUCCUAUGGAUUGUAAACUUCUUUUAUACGGGAAUAAAACCUCCCACGUGUGGGAGCUUGUAUGUACCGUAUGAAUAAGCAUCGGCUAACUCCG
rnacentral:rRNA from 1 species